rnacentral:rRNA from 1 species
UACGGAGGGUGCGAGCGUUAAUCGGAAUUACUGGGCGUAAAGAGCACGUAGGUGGUUUGAUAAGUCAGGUGUGAAAGCCCUGGGCUUAACCUGGGAAUUGCAUUUGAUACUGUCAAGCUAGAGUAUAGGAGAGGAAUGCGGAAUUCCGGGUGUAGCGGUGAAAUGCGUAGAUAUCCGGAGGAACAUCAGUGGCGAAGGCGGCAAUCUGGACUAAGACUGACACUGAGGUGCGAAAGCGUGGGGAGCAAACAGG